rnacentral:rRNA from 1 species
UCAGAACGAACGCUGGCGGCAGGCCUAACACAUGCAAGUCGAGCGCGCCUUCGGGUGAGCGACGGACGGGUUAGUAACGCGUGGGAACGUACCCUUCUCUACGGAAUAGCCUUUGGAAACGAAGAGUAAUACCGUAUACGCCCUUUGGGGGAAAGAUUUAUCGGAGAAGGAUCGGCCCGCGUUAGAUUAGAUAGUUGGUGGGGUAACGGCCUACCAAGUCUACGAUCUAUAGCUGGUUUUAGAGGAUGAUCAGCAACACUGGGACUGAGACACGGCCCAGACUCCUACGGGAGGCAGCAGUGGGGAAUCUUAGACAAUGGGCGCAAGCCUGAUCUAGCCAUGCCGCGUGAGUGAUGAAGGCCUUAGGGUCGUAAAGCUCUUUCGCCUGUGAUGAUAAUGACAGUAGCA